rnacentral:rRNA from 1 species
UACGUAGGUGGCAAGCGUUGUCCGGAUUUACUGGGCGUAAAGAGCGCGCAGGCGGCUGGUCAAGUCCGAUGUGAAAUCUCCCGGCUCAACUGGGAAACUGCAUCGGAAACUGUUCGGCUUGAAGGUGGGAGAGGGUAGUGGAAUUCCCGGUGUAGUGGUGAAAUGCGUAGAUAUCGGGAGGAACACCAGUGGCGAAGGCGACUACCUGGCCCAUUCUUGACGCUGAGGCGCGAAAGCUAGGGGAGCGAACGGG